rnacentral:rRNA from 1 species
GACGAACGCUGGCGGCGUGCUUAACACAUGCAAGUCGAACGGAAAGGCCCUGCUUUUGUGGGGUGCUCGAGUGGCGAACGGGUGAGUAACACGUGAGUAACCUGCCCUUGACUUUGGGAUAACUUCAGGAAACUGGGGCUAAUAUCGGAUAGGAUCUCCUGCUGCAUGGUGGUGGUUGGAGAGUCUCGGCGGUUGGGGAUGGACUCGAGGGUUAUGAGCUUGUUGGUGGGGUAGUGGCUUACCAAGGCUUUGACGGGUAGCCGGCCUUGGAGGGUGGCCGGCGACCUUGCGCCUACGAUAGGGCCCAGACGCCAACGGGACGCAGCAGUGGGGAACCUUGCACAAUGGGCCGAAGCCUGAUGCAGCAACGCCGCGUGCGGAAUGCCGUCCUUCGGGUUGUAAACCGCUGUCGCCUGUGACAAAGCGUGAGUGACGGUAAUUGGUAAAGAAGCACCGGCUAACUACGUG